rnacentral:rRNA from 1 species
GUGUGACUGCGUACCUUUUGUAUAAUGGGUCAGCGACUUAUAUUCUGUAGCAAGGUUAACCGAAUAGGGGAGCCGAAGGGAAACCGAGUCUUAACUGGGCGUUAAGUUGCAGGGUAUAGACCCGAAACCCGGUGAUCUAGCCAUGGGCAGGUUGAAGGUUGGGUAACACUAACUGGAGGACCGAACCGACUAAUGUUGAAAAAUUAGCGGAUGACUUGUGGCUGGGGGUGAAAGGCCAAUCAAACCGGGAGAUAGCUGGUUCUCCCCGAAAGCUAUUUAGGUAGCGCCUCGUGAAUUCAUCUCCGGGGGUAGAGCACUGUUUCGGCAAGGGGGUCAUCCCGACUUACCAACCCGAUGCAAACUGCGAAUACCGGAGAAUGUUAUCACGGGAGACACACGGCGGGUGCUAACGUCCGUCGUGAAGAGGGAAACAACCCAGACCGCCAGCUAAGGUCCCAAAGUCAUGGUUAAGUGGGAAACGAUGUGGGAAGGCCCAGACAGCCAGGAUGUUGGCUUAGAAGCAGCCAUCAUUUAAAGAAAGCGUAAUAGCUCACUGGUCGAGUCGGCCUGCGCGGAAGAUGUAACGGGGCUAAACCAUGCACCGAAGCUGCGGCAGCGACGCUGAUGCGUUGUUGGGUAGGGGAGCGUUCUGUAAGCCUGUGAAGGUGUGCUGUGAGGCAUGCUGGAGGUAUCAGAAGUGCGAAUGCUGACAUAAGUAACGAUAAAGCGGGUGAAAAGCCCGCUCGCCGGAAGACCAAGGGUUCCUGUCCAACGUUAAUCGGGGCAGGGUGAGUCGACCCCUAAGGCGAGGCCGAAAGGCGUAGUCGAUGGGAAACAGGUUAAUAUUCCUGUACUUGGUGUUACUGCGAAGGGGGGACGGAGAAGGCUAUGUUGGCCGGGCGACGGUUGUCCCGGUUUAAGCGUGUAGGCUGGUUUUCCAGGCAAAUCCGGAAAAUCAAGGCUGAGGCGUGAUGACGAGGCACUACGGUGCUGAAGCAACAAAUGCCCUGCUUCCAGGAAAAGCCUCUAAGCAUCAGGUAACAUCAAAUCGUACCCCAAACCGACACAGGUGGUCAGGUAGAGAAUACCAAGGCGCUUGAGAGAACUCGGGUGAAGGAACUAGGCAAAAUGGUGCCGUAACUUCGGGAGAAGGCACGCUGAUAUGUAGGUGAAGUCCCUCGCGGAUGGAGCUGAAAUCAGUCGAAGAUACCAGCUGGCUGCAACUGUUUAUUAAAAACACAGCACUGUGCAAACACGAAAGUGGACGUAUACGGUGUGACGCCUGCCCGGUGCCGGAAGGUUAAUUGAUGGGGUCAGCGCAAGCGAAGCUCUUGAUCGAAGCCCCGGUAAACGGCGGCCGUAACUAUAACGGUCCUAAGGUAGCGAAAUUCCUUGUCGGGUAAGUUCCGACCUGCACGAAUGGCGUAAUGAUGGCCAGGCUGUCUCCACCCGAGACUCAGUGAAAUUGAACUCGCUGUGAAGAUGCAGUGUACCCGCGGCAAGACGGAAAGACCCCGUGAACCUUUACUAUAGCUUGACACUGAACAUUGAGCCUUGAUGUGUAGGAUAGGUGGGAGGCUUUGAAGUGUGGACGCCAGUCUGCAUGGAGCCGACCUUGAAAUACCACCCUUUAAUGUUUGAUGUUCUAACGUUGACCCGUGAUCCGGGUUGCGGACAGUGUCUGGUGGGUAGUUUGACUGGGGCGGUCUCCUCCUAAAGAGUAACGGAGGAGCACGAAGGUUGGCUAAUCCUGGUCGGACAUCAGGAGGUUAGUGCAAUGGCAUAAGCCAGCUUGACUGCGAGCGUGACGGCGCGAGCAGGUGCGAAAGCAGGUCAUAGUGAUCCGGUGGUUCUGAAUGGAAGGGCCAUCGCUCAACGGAUAAAAGGUACUCCGGGGAUAACAGGCUGAUACCGCCCAAGAGUUCAUAUCGACGGCGGUGUUUGGCACCUCGAUGUCGGCUCAUCACAUCCUGGGGCUGAAGUAGGUCCCAAGGGUAUGGCUGUUCGCCAUUUAAAGUGGUACGCGAGCUGGGUUUAGAACGUCGUGAGACAGUUCGGUCCCUAUCUGCCGUGGGCGCUGGAGAACUGAGGGGGGCUGCUCCUAGUACGAGAGGACCGGAGUGGACGCAUCACUGGUGUUCGGGUUGUCAUGCCAAUGGCACUGCCCGGUAGCUAAAUGCGGAAGAGAUAAGUGCUGAAAGCAUCUAAGCACGAAACUUGCCCCGAGAUGAGUUCUCCCUGACUCCUUGAGAGUCCUGAAGGAACGUUGAAGACGACGACGUUGAUAGGCCGGGUGUGUAAGCGCAGCGAUGCGUUGAGCUAACCGGUACUAAUGAACCGUGAGGCUUAACCUUACAACGCCGAAGGUGUUU